AUGAAGGCGUUCUGCGUUGUAAACUUCUUUUAUCUGGGAAGAAAAAGCNCCUGCGNGNGNAAUUGACGGUACCAGAUGAAUAAGCACCGGCUAACUCCGUGCCAGCAGCCGCGGUAAUACGGAGGGUGCAAGCGUUGUCCGGAUUUAUUGGGUUUAAAGGGUGCGUAGGCGGAUGAUUAAGUCAGUGGUGAAAGCCCACAGCUCAACUGUGGAACUGCCAUUGAUACUGGUUAUCUUGAGUAUAGUUGAGGCAGGCGGAAUUUACGAUGUAGCGGUGAAAUGCAUAGAUAUCGUAAAGAACACCUAUAGCGAAGGCAGCUUGCUAAACUAUAACUGACGCUGAGGCACGAAAGCAUGGGUAGCGAACAGGAUUAGAUACCCUGGUAGUCCAUGCCGUAAACGAUGAUUACUCGAUGUUGGCGAUAUUAC
rnacentral:rRNA from 1 species